AUGUUGUGAGGGCUAAAUUGUGCAUCUGUCUUUUCACCAUAAAACAUGAGUCCUAAGUUCUAAGAGUGAACACAGGGAGCAAAAAUUAGUUUAGCUUGGCUGCCGUAGGCCUUGCUUUUUUGUGGAUUGUAGGCGGUGUUCAAAAAAUGGGCUUCUGAAAUUGAAAAAUCUCUUAGAAGGAGUUUAGAUGUCUCUCUAUACCCAAAAGGUAACUUUAUCUUUAUUCGCCUAUUAUUUUUGAGAUGUCAGGUAGAUUCCUUUUAUCCUGAGGCCCAGAGUACUUGGGUACUUUACCCAGGGUCUACCACCAAAUGAUGAGGUCGGAAGUAUCAUUUAGGUUGUGUCCUUGGAGUCUCUUAAAAAUCCCUGUGGGCUCUUAAACUUCCACCAGAUCCCUAAAUGGAAAUCAUUAGAUUUGGCUUGUGCAUGUGAAACAAGGAAAUAGGAUAUAAGUCUGAAGAAUAAAAGGUCCCCUGAGGGUGUUAUUUUGCAUUAUUAUAAAAUCUUUGAUGAAGUUGAAUAGCUGUUCCCUCAAGGAAAACAGAAUUUUGAAAGCGAAUUAAAAAAAAAAAAAAGGGGGGGGGGUCUAUCCUGUCUUUAUCACAACCAGUUUGGGACAAAACUACAUUUUAAAGGAAAAAUAAGUGUAUUCUAGCAGUGUUCUUUAACUCAGUCAUUGGUUUAUUUGUCCAAGGAGGAAAUACAGUGUAGAUUUAGGCUGUAAGUUAGGGCAGGAUUUGGGUAAUAAUUUGAACACGGGAAACUCCGCAUGGUGGCUUAGUGCUUGUGCUGUCUUUUCAGCCUCCAGGCCAUCUACAUUUUCUUUUAUCCAGUUUAACUUGCAAAAGCUGAUCACUCACUUGCCAUGGGCUGAGGCUGUGCUUAAAUACUUGGCAUGGAUAAAUUCACUUAGUCUCCCCAAUAGUUUUGUAUGGUUCAUACCCUUCUCAUCUCCAUUUUACUUAUGGAAACACAGUCAUAGAGAAGGUAAGUAAUUUGUCUGAGUUCACCCAGCUGGAGAGUGGUCGAACCAGAGGUGGGACCCACAGCUAUUCUGUUGCAUGGAACUUAAACUCAUUUGGAGGCCAUGGGUAGGUCUUUGUGGCAGGAGGUAGAGAUAGAAUCUGUGUGGAGAGCUUUGGGAGUGUGUAUUUGCUUCUCCUUAGAGAGCAGACCAAAGUCAUGUGAUCCAAGCCCUUGAAGAAUUACUGAACUGAAUUUGCCAGCGAAGCAACAGUGUAUAGAAAUCUUCCUAUAAUCAAACAAGCCAGAGGCACUGUCCUUCUGAUUGCUUUUACAUCCUGAGCGAUGGUCUUAGCGGGAGUCGUGUUUGGAGAGAAGAUUCAGAGAAUAGUUUCAAUGAGAUAUUUGUAGGUUUCUGGAGCGCAUCUCCACUGAUGGCAGGGGUCACGCUGAAUUUCCUAAGUAAUUUUUCUUGACUUUUUGGUCCGUUUCUUUUAAACUUGAGGUUCCCAUGGCGUGAUGUCAGAAGAAGGCAUGUUUUGUGCAGUGGAUGAAUUCCUGUCGUGGCGCAGUGGUUAACGAAUACGACUAGGAACCAUGAGGUUGCGGGUUCGAUCCCUGCCCUUGCUCAGUGGGUUAACGAUCCGGCGUUGCCGUGAGCCGUGGUGUAGGUUGCAGACGCAGCUCGGAUCCCGCGUUGCUGUGGCUCUGGUGUAGGCUGGCAGCUACAGCUCUGAUUCAACCCCUAGCCUGGGAACCUCCAUAUGCUGCGGGAGCGGCCCAAGAAAUAGC
rnacentral:lncRNA from 1 species